rnacentral:snRNA from 1 species
GUGCUUGCUUCGGCAGCACAUAUACUAAAAUUGGAACGAUACAGAGAAGAUUAGCACAGCCCCUGCGCAAGGAUGACACGCAAAUUCGUGAAGCGUUCCGUAUUUAA